GACGAACGCUGGUGGCGUGCCUAAUACAUGCAAGUAGAACGCUGAAGCGAGGAGCUUGCUCUUCUUGGAUGAGUUGCGAACGGGUGAGUAACGCGUAGGUAACCUGCCUUGUAGCGGGGGAUAACUAUUGGAAACGAUAGCUAAUACCGCAUAACAAUGGAUGACCCAUGUCAUUUAUUUGAAAGGGGCAAAUGCUCCACUACAAGAUGGACCUGCGUUGUAUUAGCUAGUAGGUGAGGUAACGGCUCACCUAGGCGACGAUACAUAGCCGACCUGAGAGGGUGAUCGGCCACACUGGGACUGAGACACGGCCCAGACUCCUACGGGAGGCAGCAGUAGGGAAUCUUCGGCAAUGGGGGCAACCCUGACCGAGCAACGCCGCGUGAGUGAAGAAGGUUUUCGGAUCGUAAAGCUCUGUUGUAAGUCAAGAACGAGUGUGAGAGUGGAAAGUUCACACUGUGACGGUAGCUUACUAGAAAGGGACGGCUAACUACGUG
rnacentral:rRNA from 1 species